UACAGAGGGGGCAAGCGUUAUUCGGAAUUAUUGGGCGUAAAGGGCGCGUAGGCGGCUUUGCAAGUGACGGGUGAAAUCCCUCGGCUUAACCGAGGAACUGCCUGUCAGACUGCAUGGCUUGAGACCGGGAGAGGUGAGUGGAAUUCCCAGUGUAGCGGUGAAAUGCGUAGAUAUUGGGAGGAACACCAAUAGCGAAGGCAGCUCGCUGGGACGUUACUGACACUAAGGCGCGAAAAGCGUGGGGAGACCGAACAGG
rnacentral:rRNA from 1 species